rnacentral:rRNA from 1 species
AUCUAUACUGUGAAACUGCGAAUGGCUCAUUAAAUCAGUUAUCGUUUAUUUGAUAGUACCUUACUACUUGGAUAACCGUGGUAAUUCUAGAGCUAAUACAUGCUAAAAACCCCAACUUCGGGAGGGGUGUAUUUAUUAGAUAAAAAACCAAUGCCCUUCGGGGCUCCUUGGUGAUUCAUGAUAACUUAACGAAUCGCAUGGCCUUGCGCCGGCGAUGGUUCAUUCAAAUUUCUGCCCUAUCAACUUUCGAUGGUAGGAUAGUGGCCUACCAUGGUUUCAACGGGUAACGGGGAAUUAGGGUUCUAUUCCGGAGAGGGAGCCUGAGAAACGGCUACCACAUCCAAGGAAGGCAGCAGGCGCGCAAAUUACCCAAUCCCGACACGGGGAGGUAGUGACAAUAAAUACUGAUACAGGGCUCUUUCGGGUCUUGUAAUUGGAAUGAGUACAAUUUAAAUCCCUUAACGAGGAACAAUUGGAGGGCAAGUCUGGUGAACGAUUCAGUUCCGAUGCGCUUCGGCGCAUCUCUGCUGACGCCAGAGAUAGUAGGGCCCCCCCCCUCCCGGGGAGGGGGG